UUUAACUGAAGAGUUUGAUCAUGGCUCAGAUUGAACGCUGGCGGCAGGCUUAACACAUGCAAGUCGAGCGGGGGAAGGUAGCUUGCUACCGGACCUAGCGGCGGACGGGGGAGUAAUGCUUAGGAAUCUGCCUAUUAGUGGGGGACAACAUCUCGAAAGGGAUGCUA
rnacentral:rRNA from 1 species